AAGAAUUUAAACAUCUGUACUUUGAAUGUGAUAUUACAAGUAGAGUAUGGAGGAGAAUCUGUGUUUGGUUGGGUUAUACAAGAAAUAUUGACUGCUAGGAAGCUGAAUUGAAAUAGAUUUGUAGUAAGGUGAAGAGUAAAAACUGGAGAAAGGCAAUCACUGCAACAGCCGUCAUAACCACUGUUGCAUUGAUAUGGAGAAAUAGGAAUCUGCUCAGAUUUGACAACAAAAAAU
rnacentral:lncRNA from 1 species